UACGGGGGGAGCAAGCGUUGUUCGGAUUUACUGGGCGUAAAGGGCGCGUAGGCGGCCAGCACAAGUCAGUUGUGAAAUCUCCGAGCUUAACUCGGAAAGGUCAACUGAUACUGUGCGGCUAGAGUGCGGAAGGGGCAACUGGAAUUCUUGGUGUAGCGGUGAAAUGCGUAGAUAUCAAGAGGAACACCGGUGGCGAAGGCGGCGUUCUGGACUGCAACUGACACUGAGGAACGAAAGCCAGGGGAGCAAACGGG
rnacentral:rRNA from 1 species